CGUGUAGGCGGGAAUGCAAGUCAGAUGUGAAAUACCGAGGCUUAACCUCGGGGCUGCAUCUGAAACUGUGUUUCUUGAGUGCUGGAGAGGAAAGCGGAAUUCCUAGUGUAGCGGUGAAAUGCGUAGAUAUUAGGAGGAACACCAGUGGCGAAGGCGGCUUUCUGGACAGUAACUGACGCUGAGGCUCGAAAGCGUGGGGAGCAAACAGGAUUAGAUACCCUGGUAGUCCACGCUGUAAACGAUGGAUACUAGGUGUAGGAGGUAUCGACCCCUUCUGUGCCGGAGUUAACACAAUAAGUAUCCCACCUGGGGAGUACGGCCGCAAGGUUGAA
rnacentral:rRNA from 1 species